AGCGGGGAGCACUCAUGUCAGUAUUUGUCAAAAAAAAAUAUAAAAAAUAUACAGCUACGAUUGUUGUUGAUUUUGGCAGUGAUUAAUGCAUUUAUAAUUAAUUUAUUGUACACGCAGUGCUCACAAACCGAACCAAAGGUAGCCUGGCAUGACAUAAGUUUUUCCUUUUCAUUCUUUUUUUUUAAACUGGAGCUGCCAACUGCAUCAUCCAACCUAAACUGGAUGCCUCUCGAGCGUAUGGACACAAUUUGCCUGUAACCUAAUUUCAGCAGAAAUAUUUAUAUUGAUCGAAAUGGGCCCGAUCAUGCUGGGUUGGAAUACAAAUCGAACCGGUGAUUGAUGAUGUCCGAUUGUCAGGACGACUUUAGUCCAUUUUCAUACACAUUCCGCUCCGAAUUUACCGAUUCCGCAUUCUGCAAGUCACUCGAAGUUCGAGUUUCGGCGGCGGCAAAUGGCAAACGAGAAAUCCCGGCAAAAGUCACAUACAUUAGAACGCAUUAAAGUGUAACCAGAAAGGGGCGAAGCCGCAGCGGAAAAGCGGAGGAAAAGAAAGGCGUCGAGAGAGGAAACCGCUCGAGCAUUUCCCUGCUGCAAUUGUUGCAAUUGUAAGGCAGCAUUUUCGUGAAAAUAUACACCGGGCG
ensembl:ncRNA lncRNA:CR44684 long non-coding RNA:CR44684